AAAUCCAAUACCAUCGCUCCUCGUCCCCUUCUCGCCUCCAAAUCCGGACCCCUUCCCCUUGCCGCCUUCCCCGGCCGAGUACGCCAUGUCUAACCCUACGGCUGCCUCUGGAUCCCGGCUUCGCGCUGGCGCAUGCUCGUCCCCUCAGAGACCACUUGCCUCGAUUUUUCAUCCUUCAUUAGGAACAGUAGUAUUGGACGGGGGAGAAAAGUCUUCUUUGUGAAACUACAAGUACUGUAACACAGUGGUCCUCUUCCGAAGCUUUGCAAGAAACAUGCACAUCGUUGUGGUUCAGGAACCCCUUUCAACUUUGUGAAUCGCCAAUGCUUUUCGAGUGGUGGGUUCUGCUGCUGCUGCUUGAUUAUUUCUUCAGUCCAAGUCCGUGAAUGUGCUGCAAAAGAGAGGACGCUUUGGGCCUACCCACAUGACUUGCUUGAGCGAGGCCUAGUGGCGCCUGCUCCGGCAAGCAUGCCUGCGGCGAUGCGGCUUCUUCCGAGUUCCCAUCUCAGUUCACUUAUGGUUGGUGUGCCAUUUACUUUCCCUCCUCCCACUCCCCCGCAGUACAACUUUUCUCCAGAAGAUGUUGGCUUCCAGCACAGAGAGAUCUACCGUUUGUCGUCCCCAGAUGUACCUAAUGAACGAUCUAGAUUUGCUGCUGCUGCUGCUGCUGCUGCAGAUUUGUCACCAUAUUCGACGACAACACAGUACUAUUUGAUACAUCCCCCUAGAUUGGGCCUAUAUAACCCCAUUCAGAUCCUUGGUCUAAAUCUUAGUUGAUGAUCUGUAUAAAUUUCCUGAUGUAAAUAUAUUUUCAUUGAGACAAUAUUGCUAUCUUAUUUCAACACUUUUUUAUUAUAUCAUCUAUUAUUAUUGUUUA